rnacentral:miRNA from 1 species
GAUGGGAGGGAGGAGUAACAAAAGUGAAAAUAAAAAAUUGAAAGUGAAAACAGUUUCAAAUACAUUUCAAUUUUCCGUUUUUGUUUUCACUUUUGUUACUCCUCCCCCCCAUCCUAC